UCAUAUAUCACAGCGGCAUUUAUGCGCAUAGUAGCAUUUGUGUAUUAUAGUCACAAUCAUGUGUUAGAGUGAGAUUAUAGUCACAAUCAUGUGUUACAGGAGGAUUAUAGUCGCAUUCAUGUGUUAGAGUGAGAUUAAAGUCACAAUCAUAUGUUACAGGAGGAUUAUAGUCUCAUUCAUGUGUUAAAGUGAGAUUAUAGUCGCAAUCAUGUGUUAGAGUGGGAUUAUAGUCCCAUUUACAGUACCAGUCAAAAGUUUGGACACACCUUGAAUUGUUUUCUUUACUUUUAUUAUUUUCUACAUUGUAGAUUAAUACUGAAGACAUUUUAACUACGAAAGAACACAUAUGGAAUGAUGUUCUAAACAAAAAAAAGUGUUAUCUACCAUGUAGAAAAUAAUAAAAGUAAAGAAAAAACUUCUCAAAAAAUGAGAAAGUGUGUCCAAACUUUUGACUGGUACUGUAUGUGUUACAGUGGGAUUACAGUUGCAUUCAUGUAUUAAAGUGGAAUUUUAGUCGCAUUCAUGUAUUACAGGUGGAUUAUAGGUGCAAUCAUGUGUUAGAGUGAGAUUAAAGUCACAAUCAUAUGUUACAGGAGGAUUAUAGUCGCAUUCAUGUGUUAGAGUAGGAUUAUUGUCGCAUUUAUGUGUUAGAGUGAGAUUAUAGUCACA
ensembl:lncRNA